rnacentral:lncRNA from 1 species
GAGAAAAUGGACCUGUUUAGGAAUUGAUCUUUGGAGCAAGUGUUCUCUGUGUUGUCAGGAAAUCAGCAGUUCAGUUCACAGGUCAGUUCAUUAGUGUCCAGAUAGCAGCAGUGGUAGCACGACCUUGCAGAAACAGCUAGACCUCAGACAAAUUGGCAGGAGUCAGCAGGAGGGAUCAGGAUCAGCAGAGACACCAGGAGAAGUCCCUUAGCAUGCCUCUCUCAGGGAAGGGCAGAUCAGUGAAGACAGGAGACCAAGAAGCAUUACAAAGAGAGCUGUGCAAGCAAUCCAAGCCUCCUGUCACUGUCCAUUGGGUCCCAUUUAUACUCCCUCCAAACUUCACAUGUCCUCCAUAAGUCUUGCCUCACCAAGUGUCUUGCCUUAGCCUGUGAGUUUAUCUUAGCCAAACUUCACAUAGGUCUGUAUCAUUCACAGAUUGACGUCACUCUGCCAAUCAGCCCAGUCCACGGAAGCAGCAGGGAGCCGCCAGCACACCACCAGAACAUUUCUGGUGCAUUUCUCUCUAUGGAGCCUGAACAAACGGAGCUCCACAAAGCAAUGGCGUUUUCUUCCCACGGCUGGAAAAGCAUGUAAAGUUCUUCUGGAUGGGGCGACAUUGGACAAGAAUGGGACGCUACUCCAUCUUCAACAGGUGCACAAGCAUUGCAUCCCUUGGGACUGAAGUCACAGAUGGUGGAAGCCACCGUGUGCUGAGGGAACUCAACCUGGAUCCUCUGCACCAGCAACAAGUGCUCCUGGCUGCUGAGCCAUCUCCCCAGCCACCAUUGGAAUGUUUGCCUCAGGAACCACACAGCUGCCUCACAGUUGCUGGCUGAUGCCAUAGAGAAACCAGAGGCCAAGGAAGAGACAGGGUCAGUGCAGAGCUCAGGAGGGAGGGGAGCUGGGCACGGAUGGGGUGAGACCUGAGGGUCAGAGACACGGAGGGGCUGAGCAGGAGGAGACGGAGACAAAGGGGGAGUCCUAACUCAGCAGAGUGCCCUGUGUGAGGGCAUUUCCCUCAGACUGCACUGGACACAUCUCCAGAACCCUGCUGGCCUCUUACACUUACAGUGACUGGUGUGCUGGUUUGAAUGAGAACAGCCACAAAGGCUCAUGGGAAUGAAUCCUUCAAAUCCAGCUGAGGCCAUGUUCAGAGAGGAUUGGGAGGUGUGGCCUUGAUGGAGGAUGUGUGCCACUGGUGUGUGCACUGAGGUUUUAAAAGACUUUUACUGGGCUGGAGAGAUGGCUCAGUGGUCAAUAGCAAUGGCUGUUCCUGAGUUCAAAUCCCAGCAACCACACGGUGCCUCACAACCCUCUGUAAUGAGAUCUGAUGCCCUCUAUGGUGUCUGAAGAC